rnacentral:rRNA from 1 species
GUGUCAGCAGCCGCGGUAAUACGGAGGGUGCGAGCGUUGUCCGGAAUCAUUGGGUGUAAAGGGUGCGUAGGCGGGCUGCUACGUCUGGGGUGAAAUCCUGCCGCUUAACGGUAGAAUGGCCCCCGAUACUGGCAGUCUUGAGUACAGAAGAGGUCGGUGGAAUUCGUAGUGUAGCGGUGAAAUGCAUAGAUAUUACGAAGAACACCAGUGGCGAAGGCGGCCGGCUGGUCUGUAACUGACGCUGAGGCACGAAAGCGUGGGGAGCGAACAGUAGUAGAUACCCUUGUAGUCCACGCUGUAAACGAUGUAUGCUAGGUGUCGGCCUUUCGGGGUCGGUGCUGCAGUUAACGCAGUAAGCAUACCACCUGGGGAGUACGUCGGCAACGAUGAAACUCAAAGGAAUUGGCGGGG